rnacentral:rRNA from 1 species
UGGUGAUUUUAGCAAGAGGGAUCCACCUGUUCCCAUUCCGAACACAGAAGUUAAGCCUCUUUACGCCGAUGGUACUUGGUUGGAGACGACCUGGGAGAGUAGGAAAUCGCCA